ensembl:snRNA U6 U6 spliceosomal RNA
GUGCUUCAGCAGCACGCACGCUAAAAUUGGAAUGAUACGGAGAAGAUCAGCAUGGCUCCUGUACAAGAAUAACACACAAAUUUCUGAAGAAUUCCAUAUAUUU